rnacentral:lncRNA from 10 species
CUGGAGUGCAAUGGCGCGAUCUCGGCUCACCGCAACCUCCGCCUCCCAGGUUCAAGCGAUUCUCCUGCCUCAGCCUCCCGAGUAGCUGGGAUUACAGACAUGUGCCACUAUGCCCGGCUAAUUUUGUAUUUUUAGUAGAGACGGGGUUUCUCCAUGUUGGUCAGGCUGGUCUCGAACUCCUGACCUCAGGUGAUCCACCUGCCUCGGCUUCCCAAAGUGCUGGGAUUACAGGCAUGAGCCAC